rnacentral:rRNA from 1 species
UUAGGAAUUUUGCGCAAUGGGGGAAACCCUGACGCAGCAACGCCGCGUGAGUGAUGAAGGCCUUCGGGUUGUAAAGCUCUUUUAGUUGAGAAGAAAAAAAUGACGGUAUCAACAGAAACAGCACCGGCUAACUCCGUGCCAGCAGCCGCGGUAAUACGGAGGGUGCAAGCGUUACUCGGAAUUAUUGGGCGUAAAGCGCGCGUAGGCGGCUUGGUAAGUUUGAUGUGAAAGCCCCGGGCUCAAUCCGGGA